CUGGAGCCAAACRWGAACGACGCKGGCGGCCGUGCYUAACACAUGCAAGUCGRACGGUAACAGGGACUUCGGUCCGCUGACGAGUGGCGCACGGGUGAGUAACGCGUGGAUAUCUGCCUAUUAGUGGGGGACAACUACAGGAAACUGUAGCUAAUACCGCAUAAUCUCUACGGAGCAAAGCAGGGGACCUUUCGGGGCCUUGCGCUGAUAGAUGAGUCCGCGUCUGAUUAGCUAGUUGGUAAGGUAAAAGCUUACCAAGGCGAUGAUCAGUAACUGGUUUGAGAGGAUGAUCAGUCACACUGGAACUGAGACACGGUCCAGACUCCUACGGGAGGCAGCAGUGGGGAAUAUUGCACAAUGGGGGAAACCCUGAUGCAGCGACGCCGCGUGCGGGAAGAAGGCCUUCGGGUUGUAAACCGCUUUCAAUUGGGAAGAAGAGAUGAGUACUAAUAAUGCUCUGAUUUGACGGUACCUUUAGAAGAAGCACCGGCUAAUUUCGUGCCAGCAGCCGCGGUAAUACGAAAGGUGCAAGCGUUGUUCGGAUUUACUGGGCGUAAAGAGAUCGUAGGUGGUUUAUUAAGUCGGAUGUGAAAAUCCCCGGGGGCUCAACCCCCGGAACUGCAUUCGAUACUGAUAGGCUAGAGUUUGGGGAGGGGGUAAAGCCGGAWUUCCKUGUGGUAGCAGUUGAAAUGCGUAGAUAUAUACGGAGGAACACCUGGAGGGCGAAGGCGGCUUACUGGACCAAUACUGACACUGAGGAUCGAAAGCGUGGGUAGCAAACAGGAUUAGAUACCCUGGUAGUCCACGCCCUAAACGAUGUCAACUAGCCGUAGCGGGUAUCGACCCCUGCUGUGGCGAAGCUAACGCGAUAAGKUGACCGCCUGSGRAKUACGSYCRMGAUAUAACYACUAUAUAUAGUUC
rnacentral:rRNA from 1 species